AUAGUUAAAAUAAUUAAAAUUGGUUGAAAAUUAAAUUAAAUGAGGGUUUAUCGUUCUUUUUGUGUUAAAUUCAAAAUGAAACUACAGUGAAACCUGUUACGGUGACGACCAUGGAUAAUUUGGGAUGAUUAGAAUUAGAUUGCUCGCUUUAAGUUCGAUACUCUCUGGAAUUUGGAGGCGUCCUUAAACAUAGGCUUUAUCCCUAUUGGAUGUUUUUAUUUGGACCUUAAUGGGCCCUCUUGUCCAGGAAUAUCAGGAUCUAAGCCAGAUACUCCUAUAGGAGUAGAGAUCUCCUGUGACUGCCUGGAAGGACUUGAAGAAAGAAGAAAAGCUGGCCAGUCUAGAAGGAUGUGUUAGGACCUUAAAGGGCUCCCUGGCCAGGAAUAAAUGGGUUUACGCUAAAAGGACUUUAAAGGAAGGACAGAACUAUCGUCCUAAAAUUCCUGAUGGGUUUCUUUUUCAAAAUUCAAAAAGUCUUCCUUGGACAGAAGCUAUUUUCGAACCACCAUUCUGGACUGUUCGGCAACACUUUACAUUCCGAAGUGCAAAAUUCCAAGUGGAUCAAGAUUAGGAAGCACGCUGAGGUCCCUGAAACACACAUUCCACACACUCUUUACACUCUACACACUCCCUACCAGGAAGCGGACUAUAAACUACUGGCUUGUUAUUUUGUUCUUUGGCCAUUCGGCUGUUUAUUAAUAAUUGGCAACUAACACUAGAUCUAAAUUUCGACCAUCAAUAAACCAGCUAGCUUGGCUCUGUAACACAUUCA
rnacentral:sRNA from 1 species